CCGAUGAGGUGGAAACGGACAGAGCUGGCGUAUCUGGCCUGCAUUCAGCCGCUGCGCGUCGGGCCCCGGUUUGCCGCACUCCAGAUUGGGAAGGUGGCUGGGCUGCUGGCGUGCUUGUGGUGCAUUUGCAGGUGGAGUGCGCUGAGGCGCUCGGCUCAGCGGCAUGAGCUCGGCCUUGAGGCCAACCGUGCAAGCGGUCUGGUACCCGGGUCGGGGGAGUGUUGUUUGGGCUGAGUGUUCGCUUGGGCACUGGUUUCGGGCCCGGGUGGGUGCCGAGCUGGCGGUCGACGUCGGUCGCAUGCGACACGUGUCAGCAAUCAGUUCGGUCCUGCUCGAGCUCUCGCGUGUCCGGCCUCGGUGUAAAAGCCGGUCAUCUGUCCGACCCGUCUUGAAACACGGACCAAGGAGUUUAGCGUGUGCGCGAGUCAUUGGGCGUUGAAAACCCAAAGGCGCAAUGAAAGUGAAGGUCUGCCUUGUGCAGCUGAUGUGUGAUCCUGGGUGCUGCGGUGCCCGGGCGCAACAUAGUCCCGUCCCRACUGCAUGCAGUGGGGCGGAGACAGAGCGUACGCGCUGAG
rnacentral:rRNA from 1 species